GAAAGAUUGAUCCAGUUACUUAUUAGGAUGAUUGAUUAAAAAUAAAAUCCAUAAAUAAUUAAAAUAAUGAUAUUAAUUACUAGUCCUGACAAAUAUUUGUGCCAGCAGUCGCGGUAACACAAAGAGGGCGAGCGUUAAUCACAAUGGUUUAAAGGAUCCGUAGAAUUAGAGUUAAUAGAUUUAAUUAAAGAAUUAUAAUAGUAAAGAUGAAAUAAUAAUAAUAAUUAUAAGACUAAUAUAUGUGAAAAUAUUAAUUAACUAUUAACUGACAUUGAGGGAUUAAAACUAGAGUAGCGAAACGGAUUCGAUACCCGUGUAGUUCUAGUAGUAAACUAUGAAUACAAAUGAAAAUGUAAGUAUUCCACCUGAAGAGUACGUUAGCAAUAAUGAAACUCAAUACAAUAGACGGUUACAGACUUAAGCAGUGGAGCAU
rnacentral:rRNA from 1 species